rnacentral:ncRNA from 1 species
ACUCAUUAAGGGCAAACCAAUCGUGAGGUUGGGACGCAAAGUGACAGCACAGGGAUACUGUGGGCUGCAUUGCUGAG